GUCCCUAUCGUCUAGUGGAUCAGGACAUCUCUCUUUCAAGGAGGCAAUGGGGAUUUGACUUCCCCUAGGGGUA
rfam:Picea glauca, whole genome shotgun sequence.